rnacentral:sRNA from 1 species
AUUUAGCCCCGAUGGAAGUGACAUCCCGAAAUUUCGGGAUAUAACGGACAGCGGGAAAAUGA